UACGAAGGGGGCUAGCGUUGCUCGGAUUGGACUAGGGCGUAAAGGGCGCGUAGGGCCGGUUCGUACAGUCAAGACGUGAAAUUCCUGGGACUCAACCUGGGGGCUGCGUUUGAUACGUGCGGACUUGAGUGCGGAAGAGGGUCGUGGAAUUCCCAGUGUAGGAGGUAGAAAUUCGUAGAUAUCGGGAGGAACAACCAGUGGCAGAAGGGCGGACGAUCUGGGAAGAGUACGUGACGCUGAGGUGCGGAAAAGCGAUGGGGGAGCAAACAGGGGAUUAAGAAACCCGGUUGUA
rnacentral:rRNA from 1 species